rnacentral:tRNA from 1 species
GCUGAUUUAGUUUUUUAGAAUGUCUGUUUUGUAAUCAGUUGGGUUGUUCAGUUA